UGACACAAACACAUACUCCCCGGAAUCUCAUAUUUCCGUCAAACUAGCUGACACAACACAACCUUUCUUUACACAAAUCACAACCACUUACUACUGCCUUUCUUUCUUGCACCAUUAUUAUAUUAUUUGGAUACUAAUCUUUAUUUUUACUCUCCUACCAUCAAAAUCCUCCUUUCUAGUUUCUACAAUUAAUUACUCUUUUAUAAUAUCAUGCUAAAAGAAAGUAAACCGGACAGUCCCUAAUAAGCACCUGCUCAGCUCCCCAAAAUCUAUCUUCCACUUCUGUUGAGAAUCUAAGAAGUUCAGUUCAUAUAAACUUGAAGGUGGCGUAGUUGGAGGUUGGAGACCACAGUUGCAGACAUUAAAAGCAAAGGCAGCAGUUAUACAUGGCGUAAAGCACAAGAGGAUAACAAGUCGUUAAUUGGGACGUUCUUUCUUUGUUACCCUACCAUUUACCAACAUUCAGCGGUGAGGGACAGUGCAAAGUGGUGAUAGAGGUGCCUUGUUCCUUGUGGUGAACCUGUGCUUAUUAAUCAUAUUUAUUAUGCAUAUUUAGUUAAAUUCAUUUUAAGAUAUAGUAAUUAUUUUCAUAAAA